AUUUAAUUAGUAUAAAUUAGUACGUUUAAUUUCCAAUUAAAAAGUUUAAUAAAAAUUAAAUA
rnacentral:tRNA from 1 species